GGUGACCUGCGUCACAUGGUGACACUGAGGAUGUUGGAUAAUAUUACACAAGUACUGCACCUCAGCUGCUCCCACUGACAUCUAUGGGACUUUAUGCCUAUGGGAUCAUCAGACAUGUAAAAUUACUCUGACACCAGCAGAGGAGCCCAUUAAAUACAUGACUGGUCAUGUAUAAAUGAACCUCUUUGCUUGGGCAGGGAAGACAACGACAGGGAAGAUGACCCUUAUUAAAGUUUUCUAGUAGGAUUCCUAGGCAUGGGCAGGCUCCUAGCUAUAGCAGUGCUGUCUGAACAGUGGUUCAGAGGGUUGGCGACAAAUUUGAAACGUCUGGAAUCACUGGGGUUUGGAUACGCAGAGAACCAAGUUGGCACAAAUAGCAGAAAAAAAGCCAGAAAACAAAGAAGAUGUAUAGAAGAUAUACGGAAUUCCAGUGAAUUGUAUUUUGGUGUCAGAUUGGUGUAUGCUGUUGAAAAUUAAAUCUCUGAAGGCUUUGGCAGUUUCAAACUCUGUUGAAGUCACUGGGAUCUGAAGAUGCUCACAGCUUUGUAACCCUUUUAACAAACAACACCAUAAUAAUAAUAAUAAUUUUCAAAGGACUACCCACCGAAUACUGUUUGCAUAGCCUUCCAGAAAGAACUACUCUUCUUAAGCAGCAGGUAAGGAAAAUAACUUGGGUAAAAGAUUUGGGGAGGAACAGGAAAGGACAUUUAAUAUAUUUAAUCUUAUUAUACAUUUUUCUACAUUAAAGUCAACAGGCUG